CACCAGUCUUUUAAAUCAUUGAACGUCACAGAGUCAUGACAUAAUUAUAUAUUCUGAGUUUAGCUUUCAUAAUCCGAAAUUAACAGUUCAAGCAAAAUACAUGCAGUUGUCUGAUGCGCCUGUCUAGUCCUAGGUACAUUUGAACAUACAUAAAAAGAAUCUGCCGUUCUUGGUGUUGCAAUAUUGGCUUCAGUAAGACAACAUGUCCAUCCCUAUCACGCAAUAUAUCACCCAGAGUUUUAUAACAAGUCAUUUCAAUGUGCAAUCCACCAAACAUGACGAUAAACUUAUCUUUUCCGUAAAAAUCAGGCCAUUCCCAGUGAAUUUGCUUAGGCAUUUCAAAAAGUGGCUGAUCUGCAGUUACAAUUGAUGUUUCUCCGGGAUUCACCACAUUUUCGCCUUAUCCAUCGAAUACCUGAGAAUUGCCUGGUAGUGCAUACAAAUCGCUCUUGAUGUCUAUAAAUAGUUUGCACAUGCGCAAAAGUGUAAAACACAUGUGUAUCAUAACCUUGAAAAAUAUCAUAAACCAAUUCAUAAUAUCAUUA
rnacentral:lncRNA from 1 species